rnacentral:rRNA from 1 species
GAGCGGCGGACGGGUGAGUAAUGCCUAGGAAAUUGCCCUGAUGUGGGGGAUAACCAUUGGAAACGAUGGCUAAUACCGCAUAAUGCCUACGGGCCAAAGAGGGGGACCUUCGGGCCUCUCGCGUCAGGAUAUGCCUAGGUGGGAUUAGCUAGUUGGUGAGGUAAUGGCUCACCAAGGCGACGAUCCCUAGCUGGUCUGAGAGGAUGAUCAGCCACACUGGAACUGAGACACGGUCCAGACUCCUACGGGAGGCAGCAGUGGGGAAUAUUGCACAAUGGGCGCAAGCCUGAUGCAGCCAUGCCGCGUGUGUGAAGAAGGCCUUCGGGUUGUAAAGCACUUUCAGUCGUGAGGAAGGUGGUAGUGUUAAUAGCACUAUCAUUUGACGUUAGCGACAGAAGAAGCACCGGCUAACUCCGUGCCAGCAGCCGCGGUAAUACGGAGGGUGCGAGCGUUAAUCGGAAUUACUGGGCGUAAAGCGCAUGCAGGUGGUUUGUUAAGUCAGAUGUGAAAGCCCGGGGCUCAACCUCGGAAUAGCAUUUGAAACUGGCAGACUAGAGUACUGUAGAGGGGGGUAGAAUUUCAGGUGUAGCGGUGAAAUGCGUAGAGAUCUGAAGGAAUACCGGUGGCGAAGGCGGCCCCCUGGACAGAUACUGACACUCAGAUGCGAAAGCGUGGGGAGCAAACAGGAUUAGAUACCCUGGUAGUCCACGCCGUAAACGAUGUCUACUUGGAGGUUGUGGCCUUGAGCCGUGGCUUUCGGAGCUAACGCGUUAAGUAGACCGCCUGGGGAGUACGGUCGCAAGAUUAAAACUCAAAUGAAUUGACGGGGGCCCGCACAAGCGGUGGAGCAUGUGGUUUAAUUAGAUGCAACGCGAAGAACCUUACCUACUCUUGACAUCCAGAGAACUUUCCAGAGAUGGAUUGGUGCCUUCGGGAACUCUGAGACAGGUGCUGCAUGGCUGUCGUCAGCUCGUGUUGUGAAAUGUUGGGUUAAGUCCCGCAACGAGCGCAACCCUUAUCCUUGUUUGCCAGCGAGUAAUGUCGGGAACUCCAGGGAGACUGCCGGUGAUAAACCGGAGGAAGGUGGGGACGACGUCAAGUCAUCAUGGCCCUUACGAGUAGGGCUACACACGUGCUACAAUGGCGCAUACAGAGGGCAGCAAGCUAGCGAUAGUGAGCGAAUCCCAAAAAGUGCGUCGUAGUCCGGAUUGGAGUCUGCAACUCGACUCCAUGAAGUCGGAAUCGCUAGUAAUCGUGGAUCAGAAUGCCACGGUGAAUACGUUCCCGGGCCUUGUACACACCGCCCGUCACACCAUGGGAGUGGG